rnacentral:rRNA from 1 species
AUUGAACGCUGGCGGCAGGCCUAACACAUGCAAGUCGAACGAGUGGCGCACGGGUGAGGAAUGUCUGGGAAACUGCCCGAUGGAGGGGGAUAACUACUGGAAACGGUAGCUAAUACCGCAUACCAUCGGAUGUGCACAGAUGGGCAUAGCUAGUAGUAGGGGUAACGGCGUACCUAGGCGACGAGCCCUAGCUGGUCUGAGAGGAUGACCAGCCACACUGGAACUGAGCCACGGUCCAGAAUCCUACGGUAGGCAGCAGUGGGGAAUAUUGCACAAUGGGCGCAAGCCUGAUGCAGCCAUGCCGCGUGUAUGAAGAAGGCCUUCGGGUUGUAAAGUACUUUCAGCGAGGAGGCGUUACUCGCAGAAGAAGCACCGGCUAACUCCGUGCCAGCAGCCGCGGUAAUAC